rnacentral:rRNA from 1 species
AUUGAACGCUGGCGGCAGGCCUAACACAUGCAAGUCGAGCGAGCGGCGGACGGGUGAGUAAUGUAUGGGGACUGCCCGAUAGCGGGGGAUAACUACUGGAAACGGUGGCUAAUACCGCAUACUAUCGGAUAACCCAUAUGGGAUUAGCUAGUAGGUGGGGUAAAGGCUCACCUAGGCGACGAUCCCUAGCUGGUCUGAGAGGAUGACCAGCCACACUGGGACGGAGACACGGCCCAGACUCCUACGGAGGCAGCAGUGGGGAAUUUUGGACAAUGGGGGAAAGCCGGAUGCAGCCAUGCCGCGUGUAUGAUGAAGGCCUUAGGGUUGUAAAGUACUUUCAGCAGGGAGGCGUUACCCGCAGAAGAAGCACCGGCUAACUCCGUGCCAGCAGCCGCGGUAAUUC